rnacentral:sRNA from 1 species
GUUUCACUUCUAUGGACUAGAAGUGCUCUCCCGAAUGAUCUCUGGGGGUCUGUGGGAAAAGCCCUCUGGAGAGGGUGUGGUCCCUCUGUAGCUCAGGUUGCUUGUGUAACCCUGAGGCACUUUUUUGCACAAGUCACUUACGGUGUCAGCUUUGUCAAAGGCACACGGGAACUUGGGCUAAGAAAGAACAAAGAGAGAUGGGCGUGGCAGCACACACCAGCACGUCCAGUUUCUGGGGAAGCUGGAGCAGGAGGAUCCCUUAAGUCCAGCAAUGGAGACCAGCCUAGACAAGAUAAUGACCUCUAUCUCAAUAAAUAACUGAAUAUCAGUAAAUUAUUAUUUUAAAUGUUUUACAAAAGAAAAGGUAAACGUGGGGAGAUCAGAAUGUAUCUGCCUUAAAGAAACUGACCAGCUUUCCUCACCGAUUUGGGUACAGAGCCCUUGUUCCUUGCCCUGUGUGCAUUUCAAGCC